GUACUCCGUUCACUUCACAUGUACUGAACUGGGAAUGAUAGAGAGGAGUAGCGUGGCCCCUGGCGCAAAGAUGACAUGCACAAUCAAGAAGCGUUCUCACGUUUC